AGCGAACGCUGGCGGUAGGCCUAACACAUGCAAGUCGAACGGCAGCACAGUAGCUGCCUGCUCUUAAGGGUGGGCGAACGGGGGAGGGUCAGGUAAGCAACCUACCCCUCACUCUGGAGGGGGCGCUGGAAGGGACACUUACUCUAAUAUAGCAUAAGGGUUCGGGUUGACACCAUCUGGUCUGUGUAUCUUGUGGGGUUGAGUGCGCGGAGUAUGGGCUUGUUAGUUGGGGGGGUAAAGGCCCACCAAGGGACCGGUCCGCAGCUGGUCUGAGAGGAUGAUCAGCCACACUGGAAGUGAGACACGGUCCAGACUCCUACGGGAGGCGGCAGUGGGGAAUAGUGGACAAUGGGCGCAAGCCUGAUCCAGCCAUACCGCGUGGGUGAAGAAGGCCUUCGGGUUGUAAAGCCCUUUUGUUGGGAAAGAAAAGCAGCAGGUUAAUACCCCGCUGUUCUGACGGUACCCAAAGAAUAAGCACCGGCUAACUUCGUG
rnacentral:rRNA from 1 species